AGCUCUGGUGGCCAAGUGGUUAGAGCGUCCGCCUCGGAUACGGGAGGUAGUGGGUUCGAACCCCGGUUGGGUCA